GGGGGUGACAUGGCUUCGACGUGGGUGUCAAAACUUGCGGUGCAUGCCGAGGCGACAGCGCAGCCUCGUAAACUAUCCAGCUGUACUGUUAUAGUUGCAAACGACAAUAACUACGCUCUAGCGGCUUAAGCCCGUUAGCAUCUGACUGAUCCGUGCUUGUGCGGUCAACCCAGAUGUCAUUUUCACAAGAUCGCGGCUAGAUACGCCUUAGGUCGAACCGCUAAAACUUACUCAGGCUCGUGAACUGAAAUCCUGCCCGUCGGAGUUCAGCGAAUUAAAUUGUAGACGGAACUAAGCAUGUAGUACCAAUAGCAGAGAGCUUGCGGACGCGGGUUCAAUUCCCGCCACCUCCACCA
rnacentral:tmRNA from 1 species